rnacentral:ncRNA from 1 species
AAUCAUCUGCCAUUGGAUGGUUCCCGAUAUGCGUUGCGUUUCGGGAGUAAAUGGGAAUGUGAAGGGAUGGACCCACAUCGGGCAUUCUUAUCGCAGCCGACCCCGCGACUGUAGAACGGUCAGGGUUCGCCAUCCGGGAAAGCCGGUAUUCCGGACUGUCCGCAAUCGCGGCGGCGGAGGCAUCGGUCCAACCGGAAAAGCCACUGGAGCAGUAUUGCGAUCAGCCGGGGCCGGACGCCUCUAUAAUCUACGAAUCGUCCACCUCUUCGUGAUAUCAGCCGAUUGCCGUCGUGCAAUCCGGCGAAGAAACUCCGGGAAGGCGAGGCGAACCCGUUCGUGCCUUUGCAGGCACGUGACGCCGUGAGCCAGGAGACCUGCCAUCCGCAAAGGGCCCCA